UGAGCGUGAACCAAAUUUCUCCCCAUUCUGCAAAUUCUAAAACAAAAAAACACCAAGCACACACGUCAUCCCAACAGUGUCCACAACCAUUCACGUCAGAGAAGGUCAUAUACAAGAGAAGGUGAAUCCAUAGUUCAGAAUCACCUGAAUCAUCAGACCACGAUCAGGUUGAGCAGAGACGAUGAUGAAAUGGUGUCGAGCGGUCUUUUGUUUUGGUUGAAUGUAUAUUUCGAGACGCAUGUCUUUAACAUGCCUCUCCAGUCAGUCUUCCGCUUCGAACACUUAUUUUGUGUAAAGAUCACAAUAGGUCUUCUCUAUUGUGAUUCUCGUAUGUAAACAACAUCUUUGGCUUGUAAAAUCCUUUCAAGUUUAUAAAGAGUGACUUCUUUAUACA